rnacentral:RNase_P_RNA from 1 species
GAAGCUGACCAGACAGUCGCCGCUUCGUCGUCGUCCUCCUUCGGGGGGAGACGGGCGGAGGGGAGGAAAGUCCGGGCUCCAUAGGGCAAGGUGCCAGGUAACGCCUGGGGGGUGUCACAGCCCACGACCAGUGCAACAGAGAGCAAACCGCCGAUGGCCCGCGCAAGCGGGAUCAGGUAAGGGUGAAAGGGUGCGGUAAGAGCGCACCGCGCGGCUGGUAACAGUCCGCGGCACGGUAAACUCCACCCGGAGCAAGGCCAAAUAGGGGUUCAUAAGGUACGGCCCGUACUGAACCCGGGUAGGCUGCUUGAGCCAGUGAGCGAUUGCUGGUCUAGAUGAAUGACUGUCCACGACAGAACCCGGCUUAUCGGUCAGUUUCACCU